CGGUGUCUUCGGACAUAGUGGCGCACGGGUGCGUAACACGUAUGCAACCUACCUUACAUUGGGGGAUAGCCUUUCGAAAGGGAGAUUAAUACCGCAUAAGACAGUAACUAGGCAUCUAGUAGCUGUUAAAGAUUUAUCGAUGUAAGCUGGGCAUGCGACCAAUUAGCUUGUUGGUGAGGUAACGGCUCACCAAGGCUAUGAUUGGUAGGGGAACUGAGAGGUCAAUCCCCCACACUGGCACUGAGAUACGGGCCAGACUCCUACGGGAGGCAGCAGUAGGGAAUAUUGGGCAAUGGACGCAAGUCUGACCCAGCCAUGCCGCGUGCAGGAUGAAGGCGUUAUGCGUUGUAAACUGCUUUUAUACAGGAAGAAACGACUCUUGCGAGAGGCAUUGACGGUACUGUAUGAAUAAGCACCGGCUAACUCCGUGCCAGCAGCCGCGGUAAUACGGAGGGUGCAAGCGUUGUCCGGAUUUAUUGGGUUUAAAGGGUGCGCAGGUGGUUUAUUAAGUCAGUGGUGAAAGACGGUCGCUCAACGAUUGCAGUGCCAUUGAAACUGGUAGACUUGAGUAAAGUAGAGGUGGGCGGAAUUGAUAGUGUAGCGGUGAAAUGCAUAGAUAUUAUCAAGAACUCCAAUUGCGUAGGCAGCUCACUUGGCUUUUACUGACACUCAUGCACGAAAGUGUGGGUAUCAAACAGGAUUAGAUACCCUGGUAGUCCACACUGUAAACGAUGAUAACUA
rnacentral:rRNA from 1 species